rnacentral:lncRNA from 10 species
UGGCUUCUGAGCUCAGGGUACCAGGAGGGAUCUUACAAAGACUCCAGGUGUUAGAAGGCCAUAGAUUUGGAAACACUUUACAAAACUGCAAGUUAUCAACGUUUCUAGGUAUAUUUUUGAUUAAGUAAAAAAACCCCAAAUUUACACCGAACAUAUUUAUAAAUAGUUGCACUGUAUUUUUAGUUUUUAGGUUUUUUUGUUUUGUUUUGUUUUGUUUUCUACAGGGAUGUGCCACCAUUCCUGGCUAUUUUUUUAUUAUUAUUAUUAUUUUUUUUUUUUUUUUGAAGAGAUGAGGGUCUUGCUGUGUUGCGCAAGGCUGGGGAGGCCUCAGGAAACUUAUAAUCAUGGUGGAAGGUGAAGGGGAAGCAAGGCCAUCAUCCAGUUACCUCCACCUGGUCUCUCUCUUACACGAGGGGAUUAUGGGGAUUAUAAUUCAAGAUGAGAUUUGGGUGGGAACACAAAGCCUAACCAUAUCAUUCUGCCCCCAAGAUGCAAUGAGGGUACAGGCAUUGGGUAAAUGUUCCCAUUCUAAAUGGGAGAAAUUGGCCAAAACAAAGGGGACACAGGUCCCAUUCAAGUCUGAAAUCUCUAAAAUGUUAUACUUUGAAAAUGUAUGUUCCCUUAACUGCAAAAUUCCCAGGCCACUUCCUAAUACAUUUACUAGCAAGAAAGGCAUGUCUUCAGCAACCAUCCACGUCAGAGUAAGGUGAAUAUAGGAUAAAAAAAUAGUAAGACGCUAUAUAUGACGACUCACAAUGUCACUAUUAAAAGGCCUUUGCACCAUGAAACUAACACAAUCCUAGGGAUUCUCAGGUACUAUUUAGCCCACACCAAAACACUAAUUGCUGUUAAGUAAACCUAGGUUAUCUGAAUACAUGCACUCACUGAUUUUAGAAAUCAAACUCUUUUCACAUCUCUAUGAUACUCUAGUUUUUCAAAGAAAUUCUCAAGAGGUUAGUGGGGUGUGAAGCCCAAAAUGCUGGCCAUUCACAAGACCUGUGAAGCCUACGGGUCCUGGGUUUGCAAGCCAGGGGGUUUCCUGCAGUUCCAAAAGCUUUUGUGCUAGAGGGCAGGGAGGGAGGACAAGGAAAGGAGUAGGAGCUCUCCCAUCUGGGAGCUAUCUUCGGAUCACACAGACAGAAGCGGCUGUUCCCAACGGUCCCAGGCUACUCAAAGCACAGGCUGCAAGGUCCUUUUCACCAGCCAUUCAUUCCCUAAUAACACUUUACAUAGCAGGAAAUGGGCAGAGAACCCACCGUAGGGGCUCCCUGCACACAGCCCCAGCCUCCGAGAGGAGGCAAGGGUGGAUGGCACAUGUUCCUCUCCCAGACCAUGGAGGGUGAGAACUCAGAUGCACUGCAAAACUGUCAGUCUGUAUGCUUCCAGGAUUCCUUAUUUUUCUGUCAUUGUCUCACAGGCAUAUAUAUUUGUGUCUGCAAGCACACACUCUAACAUUAUUUGCUGUUUCGCAUGUGUAAUCUCUCUACCCAUUUGACAACUGGCUUAUGGGGAAGAUGGCUUGGCAUGCACGUGUCAGUGUAUGUGUAUCAACUUGAACUCAACACGCAUAGACUCUGAUACUCUAAAGCUCCACAUGACAGAUGAGGGG